rnacentral:rRNA from 1 species
GACGAACGCUGGCGGCGUGCUUAACACAUGCAAGUCGAGCGGUAAGGCCCUUUCGGGGUACACGAGCGGCGAACGGGUGAGUAACACGUGGGUGACCUGCCCUCAGCUCUGGGAUAAGCCUGGGAAACCGGGUCUAAUACCGGAUAUGACUCCAUGACGCAUGUUGUGGGGUGGAAAGCCUUGUGCGGCUGAGGAUGGGCCCGCGGCCUAUCAGCUUGUUGGUGGGGUGAUGGCCUACCAAGGCGACGACGGGUAGCCGGCCUGAGAGGGCGACCGGCCACACUGGGACUGAGACACGGCCCAGACUCCUACGGGAGGCAGCAGUGGGGAAUCUUGCGCAAUGGGCGAAAGCCUGACGCAGCGACGCCGCGUGAGGGAUGACGGCCU